CCCCGAGCCUGGUGCUAAUGGG
rnacentral:miRNA from 1 species